rnacentral:rRNA from 1 species
UACGGGGGGGGCAAGCGUUGUUCGGAAUUACUGGGCGUAAAGGGCGCGUAGGCGGUCUGCUAAGUUGGAUGUGAAAACUCUGGGCUUAACCCAGAGCCUGCAUCCAAAACUGGCAAACUUGAGUACUGGAGGGGAAAGCGGAAUUCCUGGUGUAGCGGUGAAAUGCGUAGAUAUCAGGAGGAACACCGGUGGCGAAGGCGGCUUUCUGGACAGUAACUGACGCUGAGGCGCGAAAGCUAGGGGAGCAAACAGG